rnacentral:sRNA from 12 species
UACCACUUGGUAAAAAUUAGGCUGACAAAGGCGUGGGUUAGUAGGCAACGAAAAUCUGCGAGGCUACAAGAAA